rnacentral:rRNA from 1 species
GAUGAACGCUGGCGGCGUGCCUAAUACAUGCAAGUCGAGCGAACGGACGAGAAGCUUGCUUCUCUGAUGUUAGCGGCGGACGGGUGAGUAACACGUGGAUAACCUACCUAUAAGACUGGGAUAACUUCGGGAAACCGGAGCUAAUACCGGAUAAUAUUUUGAACCGCAUGGUUCAAAAGUGAAAGACGGUCUUGCUGUCACUUAUAGAUGGAUCCGCGCUGCAUUAGCUAGUUGGUAAGGUAACGGCUUACCAAGGCAACGAUGCAUAGCCGACCUGAGAGGUGGGUCGCCCACAUGGGAGCUGGACCCGGCCCAACCCCCCUGCGGGAGGCACCAGAGGGGUACCUUCCGCAAGGGGCGAGACCCGGACGGACCACGCCCGCGGGGGUGACAAAGUCUUUGGGUGAUUAAACCUUUUUUUUGGGGAAAAAACAUUUGUGAAAGUACCUGUACACAUUGUGACGGUACCUAACAAAAAGGCCCGGGCUAACUCCGUC